rnacentral:rRNA from 1 species
GACGGAGGGUGCAAGCGUUGUUCGGAAUUACUGGGCGUAAAGCGCGGGCAGGUGGCCUUUUAAGUCCUUUGUGAAAUUCCGGAGCUCAACUCCGGAUGUGCAUAGGAUACUGGAAGGCUAGAGACUGGUAGAGGCGAGCGGAAUUCCUGGUGUAGCGGUGGAAUGCGUAGAUAUCAGGAAGAACACCGGUGGCGAAGGCGGCUCGCUGGGCCAGUUCUGACACUCACUCCGCGAAAGCGUGGGGAGCAAACAGG